rnacentral:rRNA from 1 species
GAUCCGGCUCAGGAUGAACGCUAGCUACAGGCUUAACACAUGCAAGUCGAGGGGAAACGAUAUUGGAAGCUUGCUUCCGAUAGGCGUCGACCGGCGCACGGGUGAGUAACGCGUAUCCAACCUGCCCACCACUUGGGGAUAACCUUGCGAAAGUAAGACUAAUGCCCAAUGACAUCCCACGAAGGCAUCCGAAUGGGAUUAAAGAUUUAUCGGUGAUGGAUGGGGAUGCGUCUGAUUAG